rnacentral:lncRNA from 1 species
GAUGAAGCACGGAAUCUGCUACCAGUGGGCUCGCGGGGUUGCGAGGAGGGCCGGAGGCUUUGGAGUCCACGACGCGCGCUCUACGUCAAACACCUGCAGAAGAGGAGGGGAAUCGGUGACUCACGUGGGAGUAGGCGAUUCGGGCUCCUUGGUUUGCUCUAGUGGGAGUGUGAGUCAAGAGAGGAUCAGUUGAGGAUAGAGG